rnacentral:rRNA from 1 species
AUUGAACGCUGGCGGCAGGCCUAACACAUGCAAGUCGAGCGAGCGGCGGACGGGUGAGUAAUGUAUGGGGACUGCCCGAUAGAGGGGGAUAACUACUGGAAACGGUGGCUAAUACCGCAUACUGUCGGAUAACCCAUAUGGGAUUAGCUAGUAGGUAAGGUAAUGGCUUACCUAGGCGACGAUCCCUAGCUGGUCUGAGAGGAUGAUCAGCAACACUGGGCAUGAAAAACGGCCCAGAAUCCCGGGGGGGCAUCAGUGGGGAUUUUUGCACAAGGGGCGCAAGCCGGAUGCAGCAAUGCGGCGUGUAUGAAGAAGGCCCUAGGUUUGUAAAGUACUUUCGGUCGGGAGGCGUUACCUAAAGAAGAAGCCCCGGCUAACUCCGUGCCAGCAGCCGCGUUAAUAC